AAAAAAACAAACCCUGAUUUCCGUGCCCAACGUUUGACCAUCUGUCUUAUUUGAAAAAAUUAUGAAAAAAAUUAAAAAGACAAGUUACGUAUAAAAUAUUAAUCAUGUUUUAUUAUCUAACACAAAUAAAAAUACGAAUUAUAAAAAAAAUUUAUAUAAGACAAAAAUUUUAUAUAAGACGGACAGUUAAAGUUAGACACGAAAAUCCAGGUUUGCCUUUUUU
rfam:Oryza sativa Japonica Group DNA, chromosome 4, cultivar: Nipponbare, complete sequence.